AGCAGCCGCGGUAAUUCCAGCUCCAAUAGCGUAUAUUAAAGUUGUUGCAGUUAAAAAGCUCGUAGUUGAAUUUCGGGAUCAAUAUGUUGGUCGUGCCUCGGUACGUACUGGCAUUAUUGGUUUCUACCUUCUGAAGAACCUCGAUGUCAUUAAUUUGGUGUCUUGGGGAAUCAGGACUGUUACUUUGAAAAAAUUAGAGUGUUUAAAGCAGGCUCACGCUUGAAUACAUUAGCAUGGAAUAAUGAAAUAGGACGUUUGAUUCUAUUUUGUUGGUUUCUAGGAUCGACGUAAUGAUUAAUAGGGAUAGUUGGGGGCAUUAGUAUUCAAUUGUCAGAGGUGAAAUUCUUGGAUUUAUUGAAGACUGACUACUGCGAAAGCAUUUGCCAAGGAUGUUUUCAUUAAUCAAGAACGAAAGUUAGGGGAUCGAAGACGAUCAGAUACCGUCGUAGUCUUAACCAUAAACUAUGCCGACUAGGGAUCGGAUGAUGUUAAUUUUUUAAUGACUCAUUCGGCGCCUUACG
rnacentral:rRNA from 1 species